AACGAACGCUGGCGGCAGGCUUAACACAUGCAAGUCGAUCGCUGUCUUCGGACAGAGAGGCGCACGGGUGAGUAACACGUGGGAACAUGCCCUUAAGUACGGAAUAACACAUGGAAACGUGUGCUAAUACCGUAUACGCCCUACGGGGGAAAGAUUUAUCGCUUAAGGAUUGGCCCGCGUCCGAUUAGCUAGUUGGUGAGGUAAUGGCUCACCAAGGCGACGAUCGGUAGCUGGUUUGAGAGAAUGAUCAGCCACACUGGGACUGAGACACGGCCCAGACUCCUACGGGAGGCAGCAGUGGGGAAUAUUGGACAAUGGGCGAAAGUCUGAUCCAGCCAUGCCACGUGAGUGAAGAGGCCUUCGGGUUGUAAAGCUCUUUCAGAUGUGAAGAUGAUGACGGUAGCAUCAGAAGAAGCCCCGGCUAACUUCGUGCCAGCCGCCGCAGUAA
rnacentral:rRNA from 1 species